CCCUUAGAUGUUCUGGGCCGCACGCGUGCUACACUGAGUGGAUCAGCGGGUCAGGUUGCGCGAAAGUGUUUCCUAAUCUUGAAAUCCGCUCGUGAUGGGGAUUGACGGUUGCAAUUUUCCGUCAUGAACGAGGAAUACCUUGUAAGCGCGGGUCAUCAUCCCGCGCUGAAUACGUCCCUGCCCUUUGUACACACCGCCCGUCGCUCCUACCGAUUGAGUGGUCCGGUGAGGCUUUGGGAUCUGAGCAAAAAGAGCGUUUCGCUCGUUUGGCUCGGAAAACUCAGUCGAACCUCAUCAUUUAGAGGAAGGAGAAGUCGUAACA
rnacentral:rRNA from 1 species